GCUAAGAGAUUUGAUGAAUUCAAUGAAUGUUGAUUGAAUCAAGAAUAGUUGCACGUCCGUAGAAGGGGAACCUAGAAGUGGGUUCUGCAGCCUGCUCAGGGGAUGAACGGGUGAGUGAGAAGGAAGCCGAGAGGAUGGUCCAAGUAAGGAAACAGCAACAGCAAAGGCUUUCUAAACACAGGCCAAACCAGAAGGAGUCAAGUAAGCCGUUAGAGUAUUGCUACAGAGAAUAAGGCCGGAAAUGGAGUAUCACAAAAAACAUUUAAAGUGAUGCAGAUUUGAUAUGCCAGAAAGAUGAGCCUUGAACAAUUGUGAGCAGAGGAGGAACAUCCUGGAAACGGUAUUUCAGGAAGGAAAAUCCAGCAGCAGUUCCCGGCAUCCCUAGGCGAAGUAUUUUCACCUUCAUAAACAGCCGUGUACUUGGUGAAAAAUCAGCUUCUCAGUGCAAGACAGCUUCUUGUGUCAGCAGAAAGGCUGAGACUUCCAGGACAUGGACCAGAGGAGCAGACAGAACUCAUUUACCCUUUACCCUGGCUUGGAAAAUCUAUGGCUGCUCUGCUGCCAGUAGCCAUUUGUCACUUGAUUCAUACCCAACACGAAGGGAAAA
rnacentral:lncRNA from 1 species